rnacentral:misc_RNA from 1 species
GCUUGAUGCCAGGUUUGACAUUCUCAAAUGAGUUAAUAUCCAGAGAUGAAGGCUUGCAUUGUGACUUUGCUUGCCUUCUAUAUAGCUUGUUGCAGAAGCAACUUCAAAGGCAAAAGGUGGAGCAAAUUAUUGAUGAAGCAGUGGAAAUUGAAACUGAGUUUGUGUGUGAUGCCCUCCCAUGUGCAUUGAUUGGCAUGAACUCGACACUUAUGAGCAACCAAAAGACGGUCAGCAACAAACU